GGCCUGGUGGUGUAACGGUAGCACAUCCUCUCAACUUACGUUCAUCCCCGUUUCUGAGGAGGUUCCUUGUUCGAAUCAAGGUCAGGCCC